GGACGCUGCGCCAGUGCGACACCAUUUUGAAAGUUACAAAUAAAAAUGAUGCGCGUGAAGUUGUGUGUCCUGCUCAUUGUAGCAUUACUGCUGAUUGGCUGUAUUCAUGAAGGGGAAACAUUCACGGCCGGCCGACACCCACCAAAGGGUAAAAUAGUGAAAGGCAAAGAGUUUGACAGGAGAAAAGAGCUUAUUAGGCGCGAGGCAAAAGAUAUUUUGAGGCUUCUUGAUCUUGAAGAAGAACUGGACAUGCAGGACGACCCGUAAUCACAUACUGAUGGUCAACAUCGAGUAGUCUCCGUAAAUGAGCCUCUAGAAGAAAAAAUUUAAACGAAACUAUAUAUUUCAUCGGGCAUUUCCUAAUUUGUGAAAAGUCAAAUUAUCAGACGAAAAUAA